AUUGAACGCUGGAGGCAGGCCUAACACAUGCAAGUCGAACGAGUGGCGGACGGGUGAGUAAUGUAUGGGAAACUGCCUGAUGGAGGGGGAUAAGUAUUGGAAACGGUAGCUAAUACCGCAUAACAUAAGUUGUGUCCAGAUUGGAUUAGCUAGUUGGUGGGGUAACGGCUCACCAAGGCGACGAUCCCUAGCUGGUCCGAGAGGAUGACCAGUCCAACUGGAACUGGAACACGGUCCAGACUCCUACGGGAGGCCACAGUCGGGAAUCUUACACCAUGGGCGUAAGCCUGAUGCAACCAUGCCGCGGGUAUGAAAAGGGCCUUCGGGUUUGAAAGUACUUUCAGCGGGGGGGCGUUACCCGCAGAAGAAUCACCGGCUAACUCCGUGCCAGCAGCCGCGGUAAUUC
rnacentral:rRNA from 1 species